UACGUAGGGGGCAAGCGUUGUCCGGAUUUAUUGGGCGUAAAGAGCGUGUAGGCGGUUUGGUAGGUCCGCUGUGAAAACUCGAGGCUCAACCUCGAGACGCCGGUGGAAACCAUCAGGCUAGAGUCCGGAAGAGGAGAGUGGAAUUCCUGGUGUAGCGGUGAAAUGCGCAGAUAUCAGGAAGAACACCCGUGGCUAAGGCGGCUCUCUAGUACGGUACUGACGCUGAGACGCGAAAGCGCGGGGAGCGAACAGG
rnacentral:rRNA from 1 species